AUAAUUACAUGUAUAAAAACGAUUAACUGUAGGUACAGAAUGUGUCAACUGCAGAUACAAAAUCUGAAGAUUAUUUUUGGACUAUGGUCUACAAUGCAAGGUAGACUCUGGUC